rnacentral:rRNA from 1 species
GUGAAAUUGUUGAAAGGGAAACGAUUGAAGCCAGUCGUACCUUCGGGUAAUCAGCCUUUCGGGUGCGAUUCUGUGGAGUUUGAGGAGCUUAACACCUUCAUGCUUUGCAUAUUCGUGCUCUUGGGUGUACUUGCCCGUGUGGUUGGUUAACAUCAAUUUCGGGCACCAUAAAAUGGCUGGAGGAAUGUAGCUUCGAUCUUGUAUUGAAGUGUUAUAGCCUUCGGUAGAUGUGGUGAUCGAGAUUGAGGAUUGCAACGGAUACCCUCUGGGCUAUUCGUCUGAUCUCUGGAAGUUACCUUGGUGUCGAAAGCGUGCUUACGAUAUUAAGGUUGACGGCCAAUAGGUUAGAACGUGAUUAAAUUCGUUAAGGAUGUUGACGUAAUGGCUUUAAACGAC